UACGUAGGCAGCAAGCGUUGUUCGGAAUUACUGGGCGUAAAGAGUGUGUAGGCGGUGCUCUAAGUUCGGUGUGAAAUCUCCCGGCUUAACUGGGAGGGUGCGCCGGAAACUGGAGUGCUCGAGCGUGGGAGAGGAAAGCGGAAUUCCUGGUGUAGCGGUGAAAUGACGUAGAUAUCGGCAGGAACACCCGUGGCGAAAGCGGCCACC
rnacentral:rRNA from 1 species